AUUGAACGCUGGCGGAAUGCUUUACACAUGCAAGUCGAACGGCAGCACGGGGGCAACCCUGGUGGCGAGUGGCGAACGGGUGAGUAAUACAUCGGAACGUGCCCAGUCGUGGGGGAUAACGUAGCGAAAGUUACGCUAAUACCGCAUACGAUCUCAGGAUGAAAGCGGGGGACCGUAAGGCCUCGCGCGAUUGGAGCGGCCGAUGUCAGAUUAGGUAGUUGGUGAGGUAAAGGCUCACCAAGCCUGCGAUCUGUAGCUGGUCUGAGAGGACGACCAGCCACACUGGGACUGAGACACGGCCCAGACUCCUACGGGAGGCAGCAGUGGGGAAUUUUGGACAAUGGGCGCAAGCCUGAUCCAGCCAUUCCGCGUGCAGGACGAAGGCCUUCGGGUUGUAAACUGCUUUUGUACGGAACGAAAAGCCUUGGGCUAAUACCCCGAGGUCAUGACGGUACCGUAAGAAUAAGCACCGGCUAACUACGUGCCAGCCGCCGCGGUAA
rnacentral:rRNA from 1 species